UUACUUUACCUGGCAAGGGAAAUACCACAAUCAAGAAGGUGGUUUCCUCAAGCUUUUAUAUAACAGCAAGAAGGUGGUUUCCUCAGGGUGAAGCUUUUCCAUUGCACCCUUCGGUUGGGUUUGACCUCUGUGAUUUAUCCAAAUGUGUGAAACUCACCUGCAUAAUUUAAU